UCCAACUAAAUAACAUGUAUCAUUUUGUUUUGUGAGCUGUUUUUUUCUAGGAAUUAGAGCUGCUGUUCACAUUUUUAUCUUUUCACUUCGAUUUUGUAGUGGAGCUUAUUCUAUUGGCCUGGAGGAUGUAAUGGUGCGUUCACAGCAAAUGCGUUUUAAGCGUCAGGAGCUUCUGGUUUCCAUUCAAAGUCUGUGUGGAGCGUUGGACACGUUGGACGUCGAACGCUCAAAAUGGUUCAAAUCACGCUGCGCUUACAUAGACUUUGAAUGUAAACCAUACGUACCUGAUGCUCAAAACACGUUUGGUGCGAACGCACCUUAAGACUUUAGCUUUUUACUCUGU